GAUCCAGGAAAUGCAUUUCUUGUUCCGUCACCAUACUACCCUGGGGGAAGUUCAAAAGGACCGCGCGCUGGAGCUCCUAAACGUGCGCCCCUUCUACUUCGUUUACUUAUGUGGCGUGAAGACAUAAAGCAAACCUUUGGAGCCAUAGUUGUCUUUUUUGUCAUCUAAAAUAAUAAUGGUAACAUAUUAAUACAAA